GGGGAUUUGGGGCCGGCAGACACACGGGCACCUGGGCAUUGGUGAAGGCGGACACAUCACAUUGGAAGGUUUAUGAGCUUUGGUCGCUGAGUCCCCAGAGAGAGAGCUCGACUGUGUCUCCCAUCAUCUCAGUCAGCAAAAGGUCCGUAGGGGACUGCUGUGCUCAGCUCUGCAGAGACGUCCAGCGGUGCCCAGCGGGGAGGACUGUGCCAGGCUGCAGGGCUUUGCGUGCAGCAUCUGAGCUUUGAGCCCCUGGGAAAAACUGGGCCCUUAGGAAGCACUCCGAAGAAGCUUCCUAAAGGAAUUCUGCCUCCUGUCCUGUUCAUCCACUCUCAAAAUUUCUUCUUAGUCACUGUCCUGCUAGUGGAGCACUAGCCCAUCCCUCACCUCGUCAGGGUGUGCAUCCUCUGAGGAUUACCAGGCACCAUGGAUGGCUUUUCCACCUUCUAAAACAACAACAAGAAGAAGACUCUGAAGUCCAUCUGCGGGACAGUGGCUGGGUACAAGCUCUGAAGUUCACAGGACCAGCUGGUUGUCACACCUUGGGGUGGGGGUGGGUCAGAAGCUGCUACCAGCCUCUGGAGAGGAGAGCUUGGCUCAGCACCUUACAAGGCACAGGGCAGCCCCCUACCACCCCCCACCCCAACAUUUUCCUGUCCAGAAUGUCCAUAGCGCCGAGGCUGGAAACCCCUGUUUGAGAGUGAUUUUGCCAAGAUAAAUAAAAAAAGAAGCCAUGAUGAAGGCA
rnacentral:lncRNA from 1 species